rnacentral:rRNA from 1 species
AGCAGCCGCGGUAAUUCCAGCUCCAAUAGCGUAUAUUAAAGUUGUUGCAGUUAAAAAGCUCGUAGUUGAAUUUCGGGGUUCUACCGUUGGUCGGGCUUUGUCUGUACUGAUGUGUAGAAUUUCUACCUUCUGGGGAACCAUCAUGUUAUUAAUUUAGCGUGGUGGGAAACCAGGACCUUUACCUUGAAAAAUUAGAGUGUUCAAAGCAGGCUUAUGUCUGAAUACAUUAGCAUGGAAUAAUAGAAUAGGACGGUGGUCCUGUUUUGUUGGUUUCUGAAUCACCGUAAUGAUUAAUAGGGAUAGUUGGGGGCAUUAGUAUUCAAUUGUCAGAGGUGAAACUCUUGGAUUUAUUGAAGACUAACUACUGCGAAAGCAUUUGCCAAGGAUGUUUUCAUUAAUCAAGAACGAAAGUUAGGGAUCGAAGACGAUCAGAUACCGUCGUAGUCUUAACCAUAAACUAUGCCGACUAGGGAUCGGAUGAUGUUAAUUUUUUAAUGACUCAUUCGGCGCCUUACGGGGA